GUUUACAUUAUUAUUGUUUUCUUUUCUGGAAAUAGCCUUGGUUUUAGUAUUAGGAUGAAUGAAUUUAAUUAAUUAUAGUAAAUUAGUAAAGUGAUUGAAAUUUGAAAUAUUUUUAAAAUUGUAAAAAGAAGAAUUUUAUUUUUGUACCUUGUGUAUCAGGGUUGAUUAAUUUAUCAGUUUUUAGUGACUUUUCCCGAAUUGGAAAGAGCUAACUAGUUAUUUUUUUGGUUGUAAAAUUAACCUUUAUAAUUAUUUGUUAGUAAUGAAACGUUAAUCGUUUUCCGUUAUAUCUGGUUUUUUAAGAAACGAAUUAAAUUCGUUCGUUUAUUAGUUGAGGUUUAUAUUUUAGGCUUUAAUUGUUUACGUUAAAUAUUAAAGGGGAUGAGCUCUUUAUUAUUGUUCUAUAAUUUUACUAUUUUUUUAGUAAGUAUGAUUAAUAUUGUCAUUCUUUAGAAUAAUUUUAUAGUUGACUUUUUUGUUUAUUUUAUUUAUUUAGCUUUAGAUUAUUUAUUAAAUUAUUCUAUGAAAUAAAUUUUUGGUAUAGAUAAUGAUUAAAUUAGUAAAUCUGAAUUUGUUUUGUGAUAUUUUUAUUAGGUUUGUUAAAGGAAUUCGGCAAUUUUACUUUUCGCCUGUUUAUUAAAAACAUGUCCUUUUGAAUUUUAUUUAAGGUCUAAUCUGCUCAAUGAAUGAUUAAAUUGCCGCGGUAUCUUGACCGUGCGAAGGUAGCAUAAUAAUUAGUUUCUUUAUUGGGAGCUGGAAUGAAUGAUUGGACGAGGGAGCAGCUGUCUACUAUCAAAUUUUUUUUUGAAUUUAACUUUUAAGUAAAAAGGCUUAAAUUUUUCUGAAAGACGAGAAGACCCUAUAGAGUUUAACAUUUUGGUUAGUUAAAAAUUUUUGGUAUUAGAAAUUUUGACUUAAACACUUGUUUAGUUGGGGUGACUGGAAGAUUUAACUUACUCUUCUAAUUUGUAGUUACUGAUUGGUAAAUUUUAAUUCUGAAUGUUUCAAGUUUAAUAAAAAUUACCUUAGGGAUAACAGCGUAAUUCCUUUUUAGAGUUCAAAUUGGGAGAGGAGUUUGCGACCUCGAUGUUGGAUUAAAAUAAAUAUUUGGCGCAGUAGCUUAAUUAUUGGGUCUGUUCGACCUUUAAAAUUUUACAUGAUCUGAGUUUAAACCGGUGUGAGCCAGGUUGGUUUCUAUCUUUAGUUUUAUAUGAUGCUUUAGUACGAAAGGACCGGGUAUUGGAUAAAUUAUUUUUCUUGCGAAUUCUAUU
rnacentral:rRNA from 1 species